AGCUCCAAUAGCGUAUAUUAAAGUUGUUGCGGUUAAAAGCUCGUAGUUGGAUUUCUGUCUGAGACUGCCGGUCCGCACUUCGUGCGUGUAUCUGGUUUGGCUUAGGCAUCCUCUUGGGAUCGUUUCUGUGCUUAGUUGCAUGGUGCGGGAUUCAAGACGUUUACUUUGAGGAAAUUAGAGUGUUUACGGCAGGCUAUCGCUUUGAAUACAUUAGCAUGGAAUAAUAAUAUAGGGCGUAAGUUCUAUCUUGUUGGUUUCUAGGACAUACGCAAUGAUUAAUAGGGACAAUUGGGGGCAUUCGUAUUAACGCGUCAGAGGUGGAAUUCUUAGAUUGCGUUACGACGAACUACUGCGAAAGCAUUUGCCAAGGAUGUUUUCA
rnacentral:rRNA from 1 species